rnacentral:tRNA from 1 species
GGUUCUAUAGUGUAGUGGUUAGCACUCUGGACUUCGAAUCCAGUGACUUGUAUAAAACAAGAUAACCC